CGGACACGCGUCAAACCUCGCCCCGGUGUCUCCCGAGCGGCGGAGGAUCGCAGCGGGUGUCUCGCUCGUCGGCGGCCAGGCGGUCUCUCUCUGCACUUGUGUCGCCAAAGCCACCCGUGCGCUGGCUGUGAGUUCUCGGUGUAACUUUUUGAUCAAUGCGUGCGCCAGCAUCGGAUAAGUGACGUCUUCUGCUCUGUCCUGGGGAGCGUUUGGCUGGUUUGGUGCUCCUGUCUUGCAUCAGUUCAUGGAAUCUUCGGUCUAGCCUUGCGGAAUGAUGCUGCUUUGUUUUCUGAGGUAGAGGUAAACGGAUGCUGUGCAACAAAAAUGUCUCCAAUGCAGCGUUGGACUUGGCUGCGACAACCCCAACGUCCAUAACCUUCGUCAGAACGGCAACAAUGCAAGAGAGCAUCGCAUCAAUCUUCGUGCGGCGUGCUGCUCAGCGUAUCUGGCACCGAGGCUGAUGACGGAGGUGGCACCAGUUGCAGUGCAGUUUGUCCAGAUUAUUUUGCUGUAUUGUCAAACAGUUUUUUUAUCUCGAAGAUCUUUUCUGAUGGCGCAGAACAUUGCCGUCUGAUAUUUUAGCCUAAAUUCACCCAGUAACGUCCGCACUCUCACAUUCAAGGACUUGCAUAUUCUCGACGCAAUAAGCGG
rnacentral:lncRNA from 1 species